rnacentral:rRNA from 1 species
UACGUAGGCAGCGAGCGUUUGUUCGGAAUUACUGGGCGUAAAGAGUGUGUAGGCGGUGCUCCCAGUCUGUUGUGAAAUCUCCCGGCUUAACUGGGGAGGGUGCAGCGGAAACUAGAGUGCUAGAGGGUGGGAGAGGUAAGCGGAAUUCCUGGUGUAGCGGUGAAAUGCGUAGAUAUCCGGAGGAACACCGGUGGCGAAGGCGGCUUCCUGGACCGACACUGACGCUGAGGCGCGAAAAGCUAGGGGGAGCAAACGGG